CUUGUGGAGAUGCAUGUAUGUAAUCCCAGCUUCUAGGGAAGGUGAGGCUAGCAGAUCUCUUGAGCUUGAGAGUUCUGAGUUGCAGCAGACUAAGCAAUGGGGUGUCUGUACUAAGUUCAACAUUAAUACAGUGAGCCCUUGAGAAUGAGUGGCUACCGGGAUGCCUAACAAGGGGCAAACCAAUCCAAGCUGCAAAUGGAGCAGGUCAAAGUUCCUGUCCCAGUCAGUACUGGGAUAGGGCCCAUGAAUAAUCCAUGCACUUCAAUGCUGCAUGAGAUAGGAACACUCAGU
rnacentral:SRP_RNA from 1 species